ACUAACUAAUCGAAAUAAUGUCUUGUAUGUAACAAGGAGAUGAAAUAGUAUCUCUUCAGAUGUGGAUAUAACGACUCAUAGUUUUUAUUCAUUCAUUCAAUUUCAAUUUAUUGUUGUCCUUUUGCUAUGAGCUGCUAUAAAUACAUUUGGUGUACUUGGUUGGAAGCAGAAAGGGGUAGUGGAAGCCUGUACCCAUGUAUUGUAACCAUUUUACCUAUGUAUACAUAUAUAUAACUACUUCUAAAGUGGUUCGUAAAUGGAGUAUCACUAUUUCAAGUAUUACGGCUCAAGCCUGGAAAGUGUAAUGUUUUCAAAUCUUAAUAUCACGGCUCAAAUAAUGCAAUUCAGUAUCUUACUAUAUCUUAGUUGUGCAUGGCUCAAAAACGUGGUUUUGGAAGCAACCUUUACAAUUUACACACCAGUCAAUGAUUCUAUUUUGGUGAUGUUAUUAACAAUUUCUAUAACAGCAAGUCUUCAAACUGUCACAAGAGUAUUUUUCACAAACAAAUCAAUGUCUUACAUAAUUACACCAUCUUUCCAAAACAAUUAAAAAGAAACCCUCACACACUUCCCUCACUUAUACCAGUCAUUUCCUGAGGUUGAAUUGGUAAAAAUUAACUUAAGAAUGAAAAAAAAAA